rfam:Aedes albopictus isolate Foshan contig22872, whole genome shotgun sequence.
CCAGUUAGCCUAGUGGUAAAGCUAUGGAUCGCCAAUCCGGAAACGGCGGGUUCGAUUCCCGCUCUGG